rnacentral:rRNA from 1 species
UAUUGGACAAUGGGCGCAAGCCUGAUCCAGCCAUGCCGCGUGAGUGACGAAGGUCUUCGGAUUGUAAAGCUCUUUUGGCGGGGACGAUAAUGACGGUACCCGCAGAAUAAGCCCCGGCUAACUUCGUGCCAGCAGCCGCGGUAAUACGAAGGGGGCUAGCGUUGUUCGGAAUUACUGGGCGUAAAGCGCACGUAGGCGGAUUUGUAAGUCAGGGGUGAAAUCCCGGGGCUCAACCUCGGAACUGCCUUUGAUACUGCAAGUCUCGAGACCGGAAGAGGUGAGUGGAAUUCCUAGUGUAGAGGUGAAAUUCGUAGAUAUUAGGAAGAACACCAGUGGCGAAGGCGGCUCACUGGUCCGGUCUGACGCUGAGUGCGAA